rnacentral:pre_miRNA from 14 species
UUCUUUGGUUAUUUAGCUAUAUGAAUAAUAAGAUAUUUUUUCAUAAGCUGAACGAUCAAAGGAA